GGGAACCGCUAGCCAGUCCUGGGUGAAACUGACGCUGCCAGGCAAGUGGCGCGCGGGGAUCCCGGUUUCCCAGCCCCCUUCCGGCAGGCAGCAGCCCGGGCGGGGGACACACUCCGUGAUCCCCUCCUGGCUGGAGGGGUCAGGCUUGGUGGACCCAGCAAGCAGCCUGAUGGAGAAGGUGGCACCAGACGCAGACCCCUACCGUCCAGGACCGCAAGCCCUCGCCGGCUCUGCGUGCUUUUAGGUUUUGUCUCCACCUCUGCACACCCACACUCGCCUCCUGGGCCGCGACAGCUUCCUUCUGUCAAUCAGGUGUGGACGGGAAGGUCUCGAAGUUUCCUCGCCUGAGUUGAAAGCUGGAGGUGGGGGCACCUCUGCCCGUUCCUAACUGCCCCGUUAUAAGGUCCCCCUCCCCACAAUUGGUUCUCACCUCGCCCUCGGAGCUCUUGGGAGAUCCCUCCGUCCCUCCUACUGUGCCCUCGGGCAGAUGAGUCUGGUCCCAGCUUCUGGACUGCCCACUGUCGGCCACUUGAGAGUUGGGGACGGUGGGGCAUUGUGACGCUCUCCAACCUUGGAACACGGUGGCAAAGUGGCCGAUCAAUAUAUGGGACAAGUGGGGGCGGGGGGGCGGACUCUAAGGUGGAAAAAACAAUACUACUUGGGAUUUAAGGAAGCAAUCUGGAUUCUGUCUCCCCUUGGUUCUUCGGAGCUUAGAGGUCUAACGGCGACAUUCCUCCUACAGUAAGGGCUCUUCUGGGUCCCUCGUUUCCAAAGGCAUGAAAGUUCUGACCUGAAAAUGGGGGCCGGGGAGGGUGAUGUCACAACCAUAUAACGCAGCUCCUUCAGCCGACUCCCACCCGCAAGAACUGAGACCUGACGGAUAAAAGCAGAGAGGAGUCAGAGUGAGCGCUGCGUUUGGGAAACUGCAUUCCAGGGCAGCAAGACUGGUGCCAAGACGGAGUCGUGGCAAAAGCAUCCGGAGGUAGACGAGGCGCCCCUCCACUGCAGGGACCUUUGUUCCCCGCGCCUUCCCUCCUGCCUCACCCGAGCGCCUGCGGGUCCCGGGAGCUCGCCACCAGGCGGCGACGGAGAACAGGAUGCGGCGCAGCUGGAAGGCAGAGGGUGGAGAGGGGGCGGGUGUCCGUCCGAUUUAACGCUCCAAGCACGGAGUUUCCAGCUGGUUGGGCUAAGUCUGGGAGGAGCAGUUUUUGCGGUGGAGGACUUGCCUUGCGUUGUAACAUUUUAAUCCACUUGCAGCCUCCUGCCUAGAGAAUCUAUAGAGGCGGGUCUUCCUUAAUAUAUGUCAGCAGUGGAGUGGUGUGCUUAAGGAGAGAGAGACUUGGAAAAAUACAGACCGAGAACAAGGCCAUGUGGAGAUAGAGGCAGAGACUGAAGUUGUACCACCAAAGGCAAAGAAUAUCAAGUAUUAUCAGUAACCACAGGAAGCUGGAAGAGGCCAGGAAAGGUUUUUCUUAGAGACCUUGGAAGGAGCCUGACCCUGGAACACCUUGAUUUUAGACUUCUGACCCUCAAAAUUGUGAAAGAAUAAAUUUCUGUUGUUUUAAGCAA